UACAGAGGUGGCAAGCGUUGUUCGGAAUUACUGGGCGUAAAGGGCGCGUAGGCGGUCCCGUCAGUCCCUUGUGAAAUCCCCCCGGCUCAACUGGGGAACUGCAAGGGAUACAGCGGGGCUUGAGUUCGGGAGAGGGAAGCGGAAUUCCGGGUGUAGCGGUGAAAUGCGCAGAUAUCAGGAAGAACACCCGUGGCGAAGGCGGCUCUCUGGGACGGUACUGACGCUGAGACGCGAAAGCGUGGGGAGCGAACAGGG
rnacentral:rRNA from 1 species